rnacentral:rRNA from 1 species
UACGGAGGGUGCAAGCAUUAAUCGGAUUUACUGGGUGUAAAGGGCGCGUAGGCGGGUAGGCAAGUCAGAUGUGAAAUUCCGGGGCUCAACUUCGGAGCGGCAUUUGAAACUACUUAUCUUGAGGGUAGACGGAGAAAACGGAAUUCCACAUGUAGCGGUGAAAUGCGUAGAUAUCUGGAGGAACACCGGUGGCGAAGGCGGCAUCCUGGACCAAUUCUGACGCUGAUGAGCGAAAAGCCAGGGGGAGCAAACGGG